AAUCAACGCUGGCGGCGUGCCUAACACAUGCAAGUCGAACGCGAAAGUUCCUUCGGGGAUGAGUAGAGUGGCGUCCGGGUGAGUAACGCGUGGGUAAUCUGCCUUUGGGUGGGGGGAUAACUCAGGGAAACUUGGGCUAAUACCGCAUAAUGCAGCGGCUCGACAUCGAGACAGUUGUUAAAGCAGCAAUGCGCCUGAAGAGGAGCCUGCGUCUGAUUAGCAGUUGGUAAGGUAAUGGCUUACCAAGGCUACGAUCAGUAGCUGGUCUGAGAGGACGGCCAGCCACAAUGGCACUGAAACACGGGCCAUACUCCUACGGGAGGCAGCAGU
rnacentral:rRNA from 1 species